CACGUCGAUCGUGUCCCUUGCGUGAGCAGGCCGAACUCGUCGCGUAAAAAGGUUUAGUUUUUUGAGGUGUGAGGUGGAAUCUCGCUGCUGUUUUAUUUCAGUUCGUACUCUCUCUCUCUAGAAUACCAUUUCUCUCUCUCUCUCUCCUCUUCUUCUUCUUGUGAGCUUUCUGGUUUUUCCUGCCUUUGGUUAGUGGCUUUUUCUGGUGUGAUUUUGGCUUUGUUUUGUUGCGUUUUCAAUCCUUGUGUUAUGUCAUAGUUUCUGUAACUCUAGCGCCUGUUUUCCGGUCUAUUAAUGGCUAUUCCGGCGAAAAUUUGUUACUUCUGAUCUGGGUUUUCCUUAUUUUGUAAGACUUCCGACCUGUGAUGGGUUUUUCCGGCGAAGAAUGAUAUGUUCAUUUUCCCUUAUGUGUCUUGUUUCUUUGCUGUGUUUUGAACUCUUUUAUUGUAUGUCGUUACUCUGACUGUCGUGGUCAGUUUCCGGGCCACUAAAGACUGGAGGUUUGACAGCUUCCGGUCGUUUACUGGUUUUCCGGCCAAUAAGAGCAGUGGAUCCUUAACCUGGGUUUAAUUACUUGUUCUGUACUUCUCGACUCUGAGAAAAUUUGGGUUUUCUCUCUGGUUUUUUAAUCCAUGAAAUUCCGAGUCUGGGUUUCUUCGUUAACAUGUUUGUUAUGUUUUAUUCUUCUCUCUCCAAUCAUUCUUAUUUCAUUUGAAAAUUUUAAUCCCCUCUCAUCUUCUUAGGCUCUUUAAACUCGCAAGCUAGAAUUUUCAGUUACUAUAUGUUCGCCUUUUCCUCUGAUUCUGAUUACCCAAGUGCAUUUUCCGUUGAUAUUCACUGCCAACCUGAAUUUUCCGGUGACCCACUUAUUUUUCCGGCUGUUAAGGUAAAUUGCCAACCCCCAACAUGAGCGAAGAAGGAGAAAUGAAUCCUAAUCAGAAUGCACCUCCAUUUCUUCAAAUGAUGCUAGAAAAUGGCAAAAUUUCUCAGAGAAAUGGAGUCGAAAAGGAAGAGAGAGAAAGUUUUAGGGUUUUGGAGGAGGGGAGGCUUGGGCCCAAAACCAGGGAGACGGAGCUUCGACUGGGUCCUCCUGGUGAUUACCAGGCCCUCAAUUGUCCAUCUCCAGUUUCCAAGAAUGGCAGUUUUUGUGGAGCAAAACGUGGUUUUCAAGACACUGUAGCAUCAAAACCAGCAACUAGCGAGAGAAACCAAAAGCUUUCAGGCGAAGAAGCAGGGCUACUUCGGCAACAGCCAGCUUUCUCUCUCUACCAAAAAUCACUUCACCAAAAAACCCCAACUUUUCUUCUAUCAAAACAGGCCUCGCCAUCGACUCUAGUGAGAGAAACAGCAAGCGCAAAAAUGGAAACACAAAAGAGAGAUGAGAGAGAAACUGUUCUAUCUGCUCCAUCCAAUCUCAAGAAACCAAGUAUGGGGAGCUCUGAAGAGAGGGCUGGCCGAGUGGUGGGGUGGCCUCCCAUUCGCUCCUUUCGCAAGAACCUCACAAGUACUUCUUCAAAACCUCAACCACAGCCCAUCAAUGAGCCCAUCAAUGGCUCCUCUGAAAACCUUGAAAAACAAGAGGCUCCCAAGAAAGGAAUGUUUGUGAAGAUAAACAUGGAUGGAAUACCAAUUGGAAGGAAGGUGGAUCUCAAUGCGUAUAGGAGCUAUGAAAAGCUCUCCGGUGCAGUCGAUGAACUCUUUAGAGGCCUCUUAGCAGCUCAGAGUGAUUCUAGUGCUUCUUCAACUCAGAGUGGAAUUGGAGAAAAACUUAGAGGUUUAUUGGAUGGAAGUGGAGAAUACACAUUAGUUUAUGAAGACAAUGAAGGAGACAGAAUGCUUGUUGGAGAUGUUCCAUGGGAGAUGUUUGUGAGCACUGUGAAGAGGCUUCGUGUUUUAAAGAGUUCCGAACUUUCUGGUUUGUGCAUUACAAGUGGUCGACAGGAAGCAUCAUCAGCAACUGAAGAUUGUUUGGUAGUGAAAUGAAGAAGAAGAGGCCAGCCUUCUUGUUUUAUGUUUCUGAGGUCUCUCUCUCUAUAGGUCUCUCUCUCAAAGAGUUAUGGCUUGGACUUGCUGUUCUCUCUCUAGAUAGUCAUUUGUACUUGGACUUAGCUGUUCUCUCUUUUAGGUGUAUAUGCGGGAGAAAAUUGAACAGAAAAAUUGAGAAAUGGGGAAAGACGGAGUGGUGGCAAAAGAGUAGCAGGAUUAUGAUUUUGGGUUCUUUAUUGCUUUUUCCAAAUAGUUUGUCUCUCUAUACCUUUGGGCAAAGUUCUCCAGCGAUGGGUAUAUGGAGUUGUGUUUAAACUUGGUGUUGUUCUUCAUCUUAAUAUUCGGUUUUGUCUUUGUGAAUAUGGUGACAAAAGGAAUGAUGUGAGACUCGUAUGGAAUAAUGAAGGGAUGGUUGGCUUUUCCA